AGAAAAGCUAAUUUGCAAGACCUUGCUGCUCUAACCGGUGGCACUGUGAUAAGUGAAGAACUUGGCUUGCAUCUUGACAAAAUAGAACCAGACAUGUUUGGCGCGUGUAAAAAGGUUACAGUUUCGAAGGAUGACACUGUUAUCCUUGAUGGGGCUGGUGACAAGAAGGCCAUCGAAGAAAGGUGUGAACAGAUAAGAUCUGCAAUGGAAUUAAGCACCUCUGACUAUGAUAAAGAGAAGUUGCAAGAACGAUUGGCAAAGCUUUCCGGUGGUGUUGCUGUCCUAAAGAUUGGAGGGGCUAGUGAAGCAGAGGUUGGUGAGAAGAAGGAUAGAGUCACUGAUGCUUUGAA
rnacentral:misc_RNA from 1 species